GAUUCUCGUCGAGGCACCGCGACUGGCGUGAUGUUCUUUUCCUUUAUCCCUUUCUAUUUCUUCCCCUAAACCUGAAGACUCUAAAAUCUAGGGUUUUAAUUUUUUUCCUCUAUCGAUUAUGUUCCGUUCGGCGAGAAUCACCGCCGCGCCUUCGUCACUGGCUGAGUCGCCGCGCCUCCGUCACCGCCUCUACGGUAAAUCCGUUCUCUCUCUCCCUCUGUUCUCUCUCUUGUUCUGUCUCUCUCUCGCACUAUCUAUCCCUAUCUUUGCCUCGUUUACGACUGCCACCGCGGCUUAAGCACCGCCGACGGUCAUCUUAGCGAGCCCGCGCCUCUGCCGGUGGUCAUCGCCGUCGUCGCAGCUAAUUUUGUCAACUGGAAUUUGCAGUUUCUAGUGAUUUCUUUUGGAUCUCAUGGUGCUUGUAGGUUGAGACUGUAUUCCAUGAAUUUGGCCAUGCUCUUCAGCAUAUGCUGAAGAGGCAGAAUGAGGGUUUUGCUGGUAUAAGGAAUGUAGAGUGGGAUGCCAUGGAAACAAGGCAUGAUGAGGUUCUUGUAUAUUGGAAUGCAUAUAGACUGCUGGAAUUUGGAAUAAUCUUUCUAUAAUUGCUUCGAUUUGCAGUUUUGGGAGGAUGGCAAGAUCUUUAGCUAAUUUCCUUUACAAAGGCAUUGCUGCAUUUUCAGCUGCUAGUUCAACUGUAAGUUUAUUUAGUUUUAUGUUUGCUUGAAUAUCUCUAAACUACGCAUUUUUUCAUAGCUUGUGAGCAGCUUAAUUGCAUCCCCUUUCUCAUUUCCUAACAGAUUAGUUUAAUAAGAAGCAUGAGCUUCAGUAUUCCUAUUGCAUGAGCGAAAAUUGUUAGUUUAUUCACUCAACUUAUUUUCCCAUUAUCAUAUAAAUUAGAGGAAUAGUUAAUUAUGCCAACACUGUUUAUCAAUUUGAGUCACCCUAAGCCUUCUCAUGUCCUGUAAUGCGAGAAGAGGAUGACACCUAGAAAAAGGUUACAGUGGGCCAUG
rnacentral:lncRNA from 1 species